ACCCAGCGAUCUAUACAAAUCACUUCCCAACAUGGCACUCACUCUUUUAAUCUGAGGCAGAUAACCGGCGCAUCCCGGAGAAGCUUCAGCUCUCAUCUGGGUGACAGAUAAGAAAUUUCAUCGGACAGGUUUCCCUUGUGAUAGACAGAAGUAAUAUCUCCGGCAGCAGGAGUGCUCAACCAUGCAUGAAAGCCCGCUGGAGUCCUGAGUGCAGACAGUGCUAAGAAACAAGGCAGGGCACAGGGCGCUGAUGCUGGCGGUAAACACGUACGAAAGCAGCUCUGCACAGAUGCCUUUGUGAUGAUGAAGAGUCAAAAUGUUGCACUUCAGGGAUUCUCCAGACCUUGCCUGUACUGGGGAAUAAAUUCAGGAGCAGGAGGUGCCAGUCCUGGCUUCCACCACGGGCUUCCAGAAAAGGUGGUGGGAAAAUACACCCAGCAUUGUUUACUCACAAAGAAAAGCAGAAAUGAAGGGGCAGAGGAUGUUGGGCUGCUGCUGUGAGAGGUACAGAUGGUCCUGGGAACAAAAGGAGCUGAGUAAACAAAGUGAACACCAGUUUUUCGCUUC
rnacentral:lncRNA from 1 species